rnacentral:rRNA from 1 species
UACGUAGGGCGCGAGCGUUGUCCGGAUUUAUUGGGCGUAAAGAGCUCGUAGGCGGCUUGUUGCGUCGGCUGUGAAAUCCCAUGGCUCAACUGUGGGCUUGCAGCCGAUACGGGCGGGCUAGAGUUCGGUAGGGGAGACUGGAAUUCCUGGUGUAGCGGUGAAAUGCGCAGAUAUCAGGAAGAACACCCGUGGCUAAGGCGGCUCUCUAGUACGGUACUGACGCUGAGACGCGAAAGCGUGGGGAGCGAACAGG